GACGAACGCUGGCGGCGUGCUUAACACAUGCAAGUCGAACGGUAAGGCUCCAGCUUGCUGGGGUACACGAGUGGCGAACGGGUGAGUAACACGUGGGUGACCUGCCCUGCACUUCGGGAUAAGCCUGGGAAACUGGGUCUAAUACCGGAUAGGACUGCACCGUGAGGGUGUGGUGGAAAGUUUUUGCGGUGUGGGAUGGGCUCGCGGCCUAUCAGCUUGUUGGUGGGGUAAUGGCCUACCAAGGCGGCGACGGGUAGCCGGCCUGAGAGGGUAGACGGCCACAUUGGGACUGAGGGACGGACCAGACUGCUACGGGAGGCAGCAGUGGGGAGUAUUGCACAAUGAGGGGAAGCCUGAUGCGGCGACGCCGCGUGGGGGAUGACGGCCUUCGGGUUGUAAACUCCUUUCACCAUAGACGAAGGGUUUCUGACGGUAGAUGGAGAAGAAGCACCGGCUAACUACGUG
rnacentral:rRNA from 1 species